GUCACAGUGUGGCAGUGUGUCCGUGUCAUGUCUCCGUGUGUCUGUACAUGUGACAGUGCGGUGGUGUGUCCGUGUGGCGAUAUCUCCAUGUGUCUGUGUGUCCGUCCACGUGGCCAUGUGGCGGUGUGCCCGUGUGGUGGUGUCUUCAUGUGGUGGUGUGUCAGUGUGACAGUAUGGCGGUGUUCCUCCCCCAGUGUGUAGUGCUGGCACCUUGCCCUCUCCGCCCAGGAUGCCCCAGAAGGCCCCAGCUUGGCGGGCAGGAGGUGGCUCCUGUGGAGGGAGGUGCAGGGAGCCCCGACAGCCGAGUUAGUGGGGUCCCCUGCAUUGGGUGGGAGUGAGGAGAAAGGCACCCGGGGAGCCAGGACAAGCCUGGGCCUGCCCUAAGGAGGUGACCUGCUCUGGGCCUGCAUUUCCUGGGCCGAGUACUCCAGCUCAGUCAUCUUGUCCUGAGUCCUUUGUGGGCCUUGGAGAUUGCUGAGUUUUGGAGAAGGGAAGGUCAUCUUUGUUGCGGAAAGCAUGAUGUGUUUCUCUAUUGCUGUCACUUUUCACCCUCACUGCUGGUGAAACAUCAAACAUAGGACACCUUCUGCCAAGAACACUCCUGGAAGUAAAUGUGGGGACUGGCAGUAUCCAACCAGAGGAGUCUCACGCGGAUUUCUGUUUGGUUGGAGAUCUGCGUUUUUCCCUGUGGGUGGCGGAAGAGGAGCAGCUCUGCAGCGGGAAGGAAGAGCCGUAGGCCAUGGCGGAGGGGGACUCCCGGGCACCUGCUGUGCAUCCUCGUGACCAGGACACACAACGGCCUCUGGAGGCCAGGCGGAGCAAGCGAGGGGCGCCAGGCAAGGUUUGGGGUUCCCGCGGCGGAAGGUGGGUCCCUGGACCCUGGGAUCCUGCUGCUGUCCGGAACAUGGGCCGCCUUCCCUCAGGCGCGCCCCUCCAGGGUCUCCUAUCUGCGACCUCAGCACAGCUCCUGGCUGGUGGGAGGAUGGGGCCGAGGCCUCAGGUCCCAGCUGGGUCUGCAGUUUCCGCCACUGGCGGCGGCGCAGGGGCGAGCUCAAGCUGUGCCCAGGCAGGAAACUCUCCGACCUUGCCAGCUUCCGCGCCAGCUUUGGUGACUCUCUCCAGCUCAGCUUCAACACCGUUCAACAGUUCUGUGUUCUCUAUUAUCACAAGAAUUCUUUCUGUAUUUGCUAUCCUUUAUCAAAUAAGAAUUUAAAGAUGCAUGUGGAGUGAUAUCACAGUUGAAACAUUAAAAAUAUAUAAUUUCAAGUGUUUAAUUUUACUUUUCUAAGAAGUAAAAUUAUGACUCUAGUGCUAAUAUAAGAUAAACACGAAUCAACAGUGUUACUCAACUCAGUAAGCAAUGAAGGUUCCAGUAAUAGGUUCAAAUCAUUGCAAGGAACAUUAAAGUAGCUUUACAGC
rnacentral:lncRNA from 1 species